rnacentral:rRNA from 1 species
GCUGGCGGCACGCCUAACACAUGCAAGUCGAACGAAGUAGCAAUACUUAGUGGCAGACGGGUGAGUAACAUGUAGGUAUCUACCCUUUGGCCUGGAAUAACACGAGGAAACUUGUGCUAAUACCGGAUAAGUCUUUACGGAGAAAGCUUUAUGCACCAUUGGAUGAGCCUGCACUUGAUUAGUUUGUUGGUGGGGUAAUGGCCUACCAAGACUGUGAUCAAUAGCUGAUUUGAGAGGAUGAUCAGCCACAUUGGGACUGAGACACGGCCCAAACUCCUACGGGAGGCAGCAGUGGGGAAUCUUGCACAAUGGAGGAAACUCUGAUGCAGCGAUGCCGCGUGAGUGAAGAAGGCCCUUGGGUUGUAAAGCUCUUUCGUCGGGGAAGAAAAUGACUGUACCCGAAUAAGAAGGUCCGGCUAACUUCGUGCCAGCAGCCGCGGUAAUACGAAGGGACCUAGCGUAGUUCGGAAUUACUGGGCUUAAAGAGUUCGUAGGUGGUUGAAAAAGUUAGUGGUGAAAUCCCAGAGCUUAACUCUGGAACUGCCAUUAAAACUUUUCAGCUAGAGUAUGAUAGAGGAAAGCAGAAUUUCUAGUGUAGAGGUGAAAUUCGUAGAUAUUAGAAAGAAUACCAAUUGCGAAGGCAGCUUUCUGGAUCAUUACUGACACUGAGGAACGAAAGCAUGGGUAGCGAAGAGGAUUAGAUACCCUCGUAGUCCAUGCCGUAAACGAUGUGUGUUAGACGUUGGAAAUUUAUUUUCAGUGUCGCAGCGAAAGCGAUAAACACACCGCCUGGGGAGUACGACCGCAA